GGAAAAAUGGGGGGGGGGGCCUAACACAUGCAAGUCGAGCGGAAACGAGUUAACUGAACCUUCGGGGAACGUUAACGGCGUCGAGCGGCGGGCGGGUGAGUAAUGCCCGGGAAAUUGCCCUGAUGUGGGGGAUAACCAUUGGAAACGAUGGCUAAUACCGCAUAAUAGCUUCGGCUCAAAGAGGGGGACCUUCGGGCCUCUCGCGUCAGGAUAUGCCCAGGUGGGAUUAGCUAGUUGGUGAGGUAAUGGCUCACCAAGGCGACGAUCCCUAGCUGGUCUGAGAGGAUGAUCAGCCACACUGGAACUGAGACACGGUCCAGACUCCUACGGGAGGCAGCAGUGGGGAAUAUUGCACAAUGGGCGCAAGCCUGAUGCAGCCAUGCCGCGUGUAUGAAGAAGGCCUUCGGGUUGUAAAGUACUUUCAGCAGUGAGGAAGGUGGGUAUGUUAAUAGCAUACACAUUUGACGUUAGCUGCAGAAGAAGCACCGGCUAACUCCGUGCCAGCAGCCGCGGUAAUACGGAGGGUGCGAGCGUUAAUCGGAAUUACUGGGCGUAAAGCGCAUGCAGGUGGUUUGUUAAGUCAGAUGUGAAAGCCCGGGGCUCAACCUCGGAAUUGCAUUUGAAACUGGCAAACUAGAGUACUGUAGAGGGGGGGUAGAAUUUCAGGUGUAGCGGUGAAAUGCGUAGAGAUCUGAAGGAAUACCGGUGGCGAAGGCGGCCCCCUGGCACAGAUA
rnacentral:rRNA from 1 species